AAGUUCUACAUUACUCGUUAAAUUGGUCAAAUUUCAAUAAAGUCAGGAAAACAUCUUGAAAACAGCAUGAAUAUAAUUUACAAAGAAAACAAUCCAAGCGUUACUGCCAAAGAGUUUUCCAACAGGAAGGAAGAAAGAAUUUCUCUUUCCCCCCACAUAGAAUGACUGUACUGUACAUUAAAUUAGUGGUUUUUGGAGUGAAGGAAACCACCACAGGACCCACAAUGUGAAUAAGAGCGAAGCUGGUACCCGACGUGAAGAUAGGUCUUGCUUCUUUGUUAUCUCCCAGGCAGGUUGUACGAAUCCUGGCUGCCAAUAUUCAUGUUCCUUGCCAAACGGCCAUCAGAGGAUUUAAUUUGUCAAUAGGCUGCAUGAAUACCCAGGCCACCUCCAUCUGCUGCUGUGACAGAACACAAUUAACAGGAAAAUCCCAGUUCAAUCUUUGGAGACUUAAAGUGCUCACUCAAAUGCACUGAACAAGAGGAAUGCUUCAGCUCCAAUCAGCUCCUGUCUUCUUUGGAAAUGCUGGCCUUGAGGUAUCUUUGAGUCUUUGAAAUCAAUCUUUUAUUCAACCGGGAAUUUCUGAUGGCUUGGAGGUC
rnacentral:lncRNA from 1 species